rnacentral:rRNA from 1 species
AUUGAACGCUGGCGGCAGGCCUAACACAUGCAAGUCGAACGAGUGGCGGACUGGUGAGUAAUGUCUGGGAAACUGUCUGAUGGAGGGGGAUAACUACUGGAAACGGUAGCUAAUACCGCAUACCAUCAGAUGUGCCCAGAUUGGAUUAGCUUGUUGGUUGGGUAACGGCUCACCAAGGCGACUAUCCCUAGCUGGUCUGAGAGGAUGACGAGCCAUACGGGAACAGAGACACGGUCCAGACUCCUACGGUAGGCGGGAGUGGGGAAUAUUGCACAGUGGGCGCAAGCCUGAUGCAGCCAUGCCGCGUGUAUGAAGAAGGCCUUCGGGUUGUAAAGUACUUUCAGCGGGGAGGCGUUACCCGCAGCAGAAGCACCGGCUAACUCCGUGCCAGCAGCCGCGGUAAUUC